UACGGAGGGGGCUAGCGUUGUUCGGAAUUACUGGGCGUAAAGCGCACGUAGGCGGCUUUGCAAGUCAGAGGUGAAAGCCCGGGGCUCAACCCCGGAAUUGCCUUUGAGACUGCAUCGCUAGAAUUGUGGAGAGGUAAGUGGAAUUCCGAGUGUAGAGGUGAAAUUCGUAGAUAUUCGGAAGAACACCAGUGGCGAAGGCGGCUCACUGGACUGGUAUUGACGCUGAGGUGCGAAAGCGUGGGGAGCAAACAGG
rnacentral:rRNA from 1 species